AUUGCCCUAGUAACGGCGAGUGAAGCGGCAACAGCUCAAAUUUGAAAUCUGGCUUCGGCCCGAGUUGUAAUUUGCAGAGGAUGUUUAUGGUGCGGUACCUUCCGAGUUCCCUGGAACGGGACGCCACAGAGGGUGAGAGCCCCGUCUGGUUGGAUACCAAACCUGUGUUAAACUCCUUCAACGAGUCGAGUAGUUUGGGAAUGCUGCUCUAAAUGGGAGGUAAAUCUCUUCUAAAGCUAAAUACCGGCCAGAGACCGAUAGCGCACAAGUAGAGUGAUCGAAAGAUGAAAAGCACCUUGAAAAGGGGGUUAAACAGUACGUGAAAUUGUUAAAAGGGAAGCGUUUAUGACCAGACUUGUGUCGUGUGGCUCAUCCGAGGUUCUCCCCGGUGCACUCCACACGGCUCAGGCCAACAUCGGUUCUCGUUGGGGGAUAAGAACAGUAGGAACGUGGCCCUCUUCGGAGGGUGUUAUAGCCUGCUGUACGAUACCCUGAUGGGGACCGAGGACCGCGCUUCGGCUAGGAUGUUGGCGUAAUGGUCAUUAGCGACCCGUCUUGAAACACGGACCAAGGAGUCGUCCAUUAGAGCGAGCGUUUGGGUGUAAAACCCGCACGCGUAAUGAAAGUGAAAUUAGGUGAGAGCUUCGGCGCAUCAUCGACCGAUCCUGAAGUUUACGGAUGGAUUUGAGUAAGAGUUUUAACGGACGGACCCGAAAGACAGUGAACUAUGCUUGAAUAGGGUGAAGCCAGAGGAAACUCUGGUGGAGGCUCGCAGCGGUUCUGACGUGCAAAUCGAUCGUCAAAUUUGAGCAUGGGGGCGAAAGACUAAUCGAACUGUCUAGUAGCUGGUUACCGCCGAAGUUUCCCUCAGGAUAGCAGUGUUGACCUUCAGUUUUAUGAGGUAAAGCGAAUGAUUAGGGACUCGGGGGCGCUUAUUAGCCUUCAUCCAUUCUCAAACUUUAAAUAUGUAAGAAGCCCUUGUUACUUAAUUGAA
rnacentral:rRNA from 1 species